rnacentral:rRNA from 1 species
UGUGGCGAUAGCACGUUAAAAGCACCAGUUCCCAGUAAAUCGUUGAAAAUAAGCAACUUUGCGCGUGGUUAGUAUAGAAACAGGUGGUCAUCUGGACAAUCGUGUAUUGCUGCCU